rnacentral:tRNA from 1 species
GGCUUCUUGGUCAUGUGCUGUGACACCGCUCUCGUAAUGCGGAAGGCCGGGUUGGAUUCCCGGAGAAGGCUCCA